rnacentral:rRNA from 1 species
CCUACGGGAGGCAGCAGUAGGGAAUUUUGGACAAUGGGCGAAAGCCUGAUCCAGCAAUGCCGCGUGAGUGAAGAAGGCCUUCGGGUUGUAAAGCUCUUUUGUCAGGGAAGAAACGGUGAGAGCUAAUAUCUCUUGCUAAUGACGGUACCUGAAGAAUAAGCACCGGCUAACUACGUGCCAGCAGCCGCGGUAAUACGUAGGGUGCAAGCGUUAAUCGGAAUUACUGGGCGUAAAGCGUGCGCAGGCGGUUUUGUAAGUCUGAUGUGAAAUCCCCGGGCUCAACCUGGGAAUUGCAUUGGAGACUGCAAGGCUAGAAUCUGGCAGAGGGGGGUAGAAUUCCACGUGUAGCAGUGAAAUGCGUAGAUAUGUGGAGGAACACCGAUGGCGAAGGCAGCCCCCUGGGUCAAGAUUGACGCUCAUGCACGAAAGCGUGGGGAGCAAACAGGAUUAGAUACCCUGGUAGUCCACGCCCUAAACGAUGUCUACUAGUUGUCGGGUCUUAAUUGACUUGGUAACGCAGCUAACGCGUGAAGUAGACCGCCUGGGGAGUACGGUCGCAAGAUUAAAACUCAAAGGAAUUGACGGNGNGAGAGNGCGAGACGACGAGAGGAGGAG